GACGAACGCUGGCGGCGUGCUUAACACAUGCAAGUCGAACGAUGAAGCCGGAGCUUGCUCUGGUGAAUUAGUGGCGAACGGGUGAGUAACACGUGAGUAACCUGCCCUUGACUCUGGGAUAACUGCGGGAAACUGUAGCUAAUUCCGGAUACGACUCUCGGAGGCAUCUCCUGGGGGUGGAAAGAAUUUCGGUCAAGGAUGGACUCGCGGCCUAUCAGCUAGUUGGUGAGGUAAAGGCUCACCAAGGCGACGACGGGUAGCCGGCCUGAGAGGCGGACCGGCCACGCUGGGACUGAGACACGGCCCAGACUCCUACGGGAGGCAGCAGUGGGGAAUAUUGCACAAUGGGCGCAAGCCUGAUGCAGCAACGCCGCGUGAGGGAUGACGGCCUUCGGGUUGUAAACCUCUUUUAGCAGGGAAGAAGCGAAAGUGACGGUACCUGCAGAAAAAGCACCGGCUAACUACGUGCCAGCCGCCGCAGUAA
rnacentral:rRNA from 1 species